AACCGAUAUGAAAUUGUAUAAAAAGCGUCGCACGUGCGUCGAGCCGUGGACGAACCACUAAACGAUACCCGUGCGUGAUGUACACCUGUACACUCCUUUACCUUAUAUAUUAUUUUGUCUCGUUUUUUAUUCGACCAGACGAAUUUUCAACAACAUUGAAAACGGACGGACCGUUCACGAUAUUCAUACGUUUUUACAUCACGUGGGUGUUUAAAAUUUGCAGUAUCCAUCCGG